CUCUUGACAUCCAGCGAAUUCGGUAGAGAUACCUUAGUGCCUUCGGGAACGCUGAGACAGGUGCUGCAUGGCUGUCGUCAGCUCGUGUUGUGAAAUGUUGGGUUAAGUCCCGNAACGAGCGCAACCCUUAUCCUUUGUUGCCAGCGGUCCGGCCGGGAACUCAAAGGAGACUGCCAGUGAUAAACUGGAGGAAGGUGGGGACGACGUCAAGUCAUCAUGGCCCUUACGAGUAGGGCUACACACGUGCUACAAUGGCGCAUACAAAGAGAAGCGACCUCGCGAGAGCAAGCGGACCUCAUAAAGUGCGUCGUAGUCCGGAUUGGAGUCUGCAACUCGACUCCAUGAAGUCGGAAUCGCUAGUAAUCGUAGAUCAGAAUGCUACGGUGAAUACGUUCCCGGGCCUUGUACACACCGCCCGUCACACCAUGGGAGUGGGUUGCAAAAGAAGUAGGUAGCUUAACCUUCGGGAGGGCGCUUACCACUUUGUGAUUCAUGACUGGGGUGAAGUCGUAACAAGGUAAGCGUACGUGU
rnacentral:rRNA from 1 species